rnacentral:rRNA from 1 species
UUGAACGCUGGCGGCAUGCUUUACACAUGCAAGUCGAACGGUAACAGGGAGCUUGCUCCGCUGACGAGUGGCGAACGGGUGAGUAAUAUAUCGGAACGUGCCCAAGAGUGGGGGAUAACGUAGCGAAAGUUACGCUAAUACCGCAUACGAUCUACGGAUGAAAGCAGGGGACCUUCGGGCCUUGUGCUCCUGGAGCGGCCGAUAUCUGAUUAGCUAGUUGGUGAGGUAAAGGCUCACCAAGGCGACGAUCAGUAGCUGGUCUGAGAGGACGACCAGCCACACUGGAACUGAGACACGGUCCAGACUCCUACGGGAGGCAGCAGUGGGGAAUUUUGGACAAUGGGGGCAACCCUGAUCCAGCAAUGCCGCGUGAGUGAAGAAGGCCUUCGGGUUGUAAAGCUCUUUUGUCAGGGAAGAAAAGGGUACGGCUAAUAUCUGUGCCUCAUGACGGUACCUGAAGAAUAAGCACCGGCUAACUACGU